ACGGGAGGCAGCAGUGGGGAAUAUUGGACAAUGGGCGCAAGCCUGAUCCAGCGACGCCGCGUGAGCGAUGAAGUAUUUCGGUAUGUAAAGCUCUAUCAGCAGGGAAGAAAACGACGGUACCUGACUAAGAAGCUCCGGCUAAAUACGUGCCAGCAGCCGCGGUAAUACGUAUGGAGCAAGCGUUAUCCGGAUUUACUGGGUGUAAAGGGAGCGUAGACGGCAUCACAAGUCAGAAGUGAAACUCCGGGGCUCAACCCCGGAACUGCUUUUGAAACUGUGGAGCUAGAGUGCAGGAGAGGUAAGCGGAAUUCCUAGUGUAGCGGUGAAAUGCGUAGAUAUUAGGAGGAACACCAGUGGCGAAGGCGGCUUACUGGACUGUAACUGACGUUGAGGCUCGAAAGCGUGGGGAGCAAACAGGAUUAGAUACCCUGGUA
rnacentral:rRNA from 1 species